rnacentral:rRNA from 1 species
UACGAGGGGGGCGAGCGUUGUUCGGAAUUAUUGGGCGUAAAGGGUGCGUAGGCGGUUCCGCAAGUCCUGUGUGAAAUCUUCGGGCUUAACUCGAAGCCUGCAUAAAAUACUGCCGGGCUUGAGUAUGGGAGAGGUGAGUGGAAUUUCCGGUGUAGCGGUGAAAUGCGUAGAUAUCGGAAGGAACACCUGUGGCGAAAGCGGCUCACUGGACCAUAACUGACGCUGAGGCACGAAAGCUAGGGGAGCAAACAGG